rnacentral:rRNA from 2 species
UUAAAUUGAAGAGUUUGAUCAUGGCUCAGAUUGAACGCUGGCGGCAGGCCUAACACAUGCAAGUCGAACGGUAACAGGAAGAAGCUUGCUUCUUUGCUGACGAGUGGCGGACGGGUGAGUAAUGUCUGGGAAACUGCCUGAUGGAGGGGGAUAACUACUGGAAACGGUAGCUAAUACCGCAUAACGUCGCAAGACCAAAGAGGGG